UACAGAGGUCUCAAGCGUUGUUCGGAUUCAUUGGGCGUAAAGGGUGUGUAGGUGGCGCGCUCAAGUCGGGUGUGAAAUUUCGGAGCUUAACUCCGAAACUGCAUUCGAUACUGGCGUGCUUGAGGACUGGAGAGGAGACUGGAAUUCAUGGUGUAGCAGUGAAAUGCGUAGAGAUCAUGAGGAAGACCAGUGGCGAAGGCGGGUCUCUGGACAGUUCCUGACACUGAGAACACGAAGGACCA
rnacentral:rRNA from 1 species